AUACUUACCUGGCAGGAAAGAUACCAUGAUCUGGAGGGUGGUUCUCUCAGGGUGAGUCUCGUCCACUGCACUCAGGUCAUUCUGAGUCCAGUGACUUCCCCAAACGUGGGAAACUCGACCACUUCUGUUGGUGAGGGACUGUGUUCCCGGU
ensembl:snRNA U1 U1 spliceosomal RNA